GCUUCUUCAACAGCGACAAAAGGCUUCUGAUUCAACCAACGUGGUGGUUUGCUAGCGAACAUAAAACCGAAACAUUGAAGCUCUUUAGACCAAUCUUGUGUAUUUUAUUCUUGGUGUUUUGAAUAUAAAUCUGUUUACUAGUUCAUUUAAACGUAAAUGUUAAAUUAGCAAAUGUGGUAAAUUGCUAAUGCACUAGGCUAAUUGACCGGAGCAUAAGCUCACUAAGCUCGACGGAGAAAGAAGCUCUGGUGAAAGGAGAGGAAGAAGCUUUCAGCAUGAAAAAGGAGGAAGAAGAGGAUGAUAUUACAGUGAAAGAGGAAGAUGGGAAAGAGGUUGUCAAAAUGGAAGAGGAGGAGGUAGAAGCUUUCAGAAGCAAAAAGGAGAAAGAUGCCAGAACAUUGAAAGAAGAGGAAGAAGCUUUUAGAGUAAAAGAGGAAGAGCAUGUGUAACAGUGUAGGUUCCGUCCCUCUCUUCGCCCCAACCUGAGCUCGAACCAGGGACCCUUGCACACAUCAACAACUGACACCCACGAAGCAUCGUUACCCAUCGCGCCACAAAAGCCGCGGCCCUUGCAACGCAAGGGGCAACCCUACUUCAAGUCUCAGAGCGAGUGACGUCACCGAUUGAAACGCUAUUAGCGCGCACCACCGCUAACUAACUAGCCAUUUCACAUCGGUUACACAUGCUAUCUCAAUAAAAGAGGAAGACGUUUUAGGAGUGGAGUCUGAAGAUCAGAUUACCACCAGAGAGAGACGUGAUUUUCGUGGAUCCUUUGGGGAACCUCAACAACAUCCUGAUGCUAACGAGUCAGAGAAGAGUCUCUUCAGAUCAGAACACCAGGACAACGCUAGCCCUUCCUCCCUCCCGGAGUCCCUGUGUCGUGCCUCUCCCAGUAGCACCUUACUGCUGGGUAUGAAGAGGUUGUCUGUGCAGCUGGUGGACUGCAGGAAAACAACGGGGCUGAGUGGAACUGUGGGAGGAGGAGAAGAGAAGAAAGGAUCAGAUUUGACUCAUCAAAGUAAGUGCUGUAGUUUAGUUUGAACAAAUAAAAUAGAUCUGGUAUCUGUUGCCAGGACAACCAGCAGAGUUCUGUUAUUUGACAUGAAGAUAGACUGGUGCAUAUGGAUGUUAUGAAUAUCAUAACACUGAAAAGGGAUUCUGCCAAUGAAAAGAGAGAAACGAUAGACCAUAUAAAACCUUGAUGAAAGUUAGCUUUAGAGAGAAAGUUUCAAGAUGAUCUGAUGUAAGGUGCUUGUUUUACAAAAACCUUUUCCUAAAAACAUUAUUGAUGUUACAUUGCCUGUCCCAGUCAACCCCCUAUCUUUACAAGACUCUAGAACUAAACUCCAGACACUUCAAUGUGGUCUGUAUUGCUUCAUUAACGUCUGAUCUACAGAACUUGUUAAACAUGCAAAUGUGCAAUUGUAGUCAGAAGUUUACAUACACUUUAGCCAAAUACAUUUAAACUCAGUUUUUUACAAUUCCUGACAUUUAAUCCUAGUAAGAAUUCCCUGUCUUAGGUUAGUUAGGAU